GAUUUUUCCCUCCUCGACAUGAUGCUCCACUCUCUGAAACUACCGACCUGACUGUGAACACCGUUGACACCCACCUGAGGGAGACGCUGUCUAAGAUCUCAAGGCUGCUUGGUCGUGGUCUUUCUGGCACGUACUCUUCCAAGAUGAGCCGGGAAGUUUAACACUGAUGGAAUAACACCAGGUCUUAGCCGACAAACUUCCACUUCCUCCUAGACCCAUAGUCUCUGGGAAACCUACAUGGAUGAUAAGACGUUGCUGUUACGUGCUGGAGGUUGAUGUUGACAGGGUCGGUGUCCGAGUUGGUGCUGAAGCUGGUGCUGGAGAGGAGGCAGGGGAGCUGGAG
ensembl:lncRNA